GGGGACGACUGGUUUUGACAGCAAGGUCAGUAAAAUUGUAAGCAUAUCGAGGAAUGAGAUCAUAACUCGUAAAACUUAUUUCAACUUUUUAAACGGCGAAAAUAAUUACGCUUUAGCUGCAUAGUCUGAAUUUAUAGUAAGACUAGCCUAGGCACACAAGGUGUGCAAGCUUUAUGUCCACGAAAAGCCCUGAUUUAUGGCGUUUCUUUUUUGGGCAUCGUAAAAAUAGAUCUAGAGAUACUAGCACUUCGAUAGUACUUCGAAAUUAAAGAAGAUAAGCUUUAAGUAGAUUGUUUUUGAUCAGCUUUAAGUCGAAAAUCAAACAAAAACUAAAUAUGUAGAAAGCCAUUUAACUGCUUGUUUGGACCCGAGUUCGAUUCUCGGCGUCUCCACAA
rnacentral:tmRNA from 1 species